CCGACCCCUGACCCCGGCGGCGGGCCUGCGCCCCCUGACCCCGACGCGCCCGGGCCACCUUCCCACCCGGGGGACUAGACCCGACCCACUGGGGACCCUGCGACCCCUGACCCCUGCCCCCUGCCCCGAGACGUCCACCUGGGAAGGACCGGGUGUCAUCCCGUGGUGGCUCCUGGUCCCGGCUCCGGGCCGCGCCCACCCCCAUCCUCCCCAGGCCCCGACCCGCCGGGAGCCUCUCGCCCUGUGACCCCGUGCACCCCCCCACCCGGGCCCGUCCCACCCCGAUCUCCAACCCCGGGUCUCCCCAAAGCCCGCGGCGGCCGCGCCCCCGGGACACACCCCCGGGCCACCGGCUGCCCCGCGAGCUGCUCCCGGCCCCGCUCCUCCUGCCGCCGCGCCUUCCGGGGGCUCCCACCCUGGGGACCUUCCACGCCGCCCCCGCCGUGCUCCUUCUCUGGGCUUCACGGGAGCGUGACCUGACCGAGGUCACUCGCCAGGCUUGGUGACAAAGUCACAGCCGGCGCUGACGCUCGCGUCUCAGCCGGGCCCGCGAGCUUCUGCGCGUCCACCCGCGGGGGCACCGCCCGGCCCGUCCGAGAAGGGGUCUCCCCCCCGGGAAGGAGCUUGCUGGGCCGGGGGCCGGGGGCCGGGGUUCCCGAGCACAGGGCGGUCCCAGGUGUCGCCUGACACCUGCCGCGGGCCGGGCCGGGGUGCUGGCUGGGCUCCCGGGCUGCACAGAGCGGCUGAUGCUGACGCUCAGGCGCUGGGGCGCGGCCGGCCCGGUUGGUCAGGACCUGCUGGUUCUUUGGGGUUUGGUGGAAGGAGCGCCAGUGGGGCCCGGACCGACCUGGGUGUGGGCUGGCCACAGCCUCCCGGGGGCCCUUGAGCCCCCCAGUCCCUCGUGGGCCAGAGUGGCCUGCUCUCUGCCUGGUGAGGCCAUGCUGAGGUGGCCCUCCUGCCCCCUCCCCUCCCCAGGACCGCUCGGGGCCCCUCCGGAGGCUGUGAGUGGGGCUGUGGAGGAUUAUGGGAUCGGGGUUCCUUUAUUGGGCUCCUGGGGUCUGUGGAUGCCUGAGAGUGGGGACAGAAGCCGCGUGGAGGAGAGGGAGCCCUGUCUUCCCCAGACCUCAGAUGGGGCCACUUCUGAGGGGCUGGGCUCUGUCUGCUGCUCCCCGGUUUAGGAGCAGAUGGGUGUUUGGGGCGACCAGCAGACAGGCCCUGGGCAGGUGGCCCCAGAGUCGUCAGCCCCGAGUCCGUCUCCGCUGAGCUGGAGCGGCGAGGCCCCUCGUUCCCGGAAUCUGCCCCAGUUCCCGUCGGCACGUGAGGCCGGCGGCUGGUUCUGAGCCGCCUCAAGUUCCAGAACGCCCGCUGUUGUGUUUCCGGUCGCUGGCUUCCGGACUCUCGCUGCGAGACCGAGGUCCCCUCGCGGACUUCCUCUCAGCCUCUUCCUGGGCCGCCGGUUCCGCCAGCUCCUGCUGCGGGCUGCCCAGGUGCCCGCUUCCCCGCCCUCCUCAGGCCGUUUGGAGACCUGUGUCCCACAUGCCAGCUGCUGGGGGCAAGAGGUGGCCGCUGGGCCCGUGUUUGGGGCCCUUAGAAGCCCGUCCCCCCACCCGCCUGGGCUGCCACCUCGGCUGGUUCUCCUGGCGCGGAGGCCCAGAGCUGGCACUGGACUCUGGACCCUGGGCUUCCUGACCCUGCAGCCCCGAGCAGGAGGCCAUGGCGGGAGGGGCACCAAUGUGGGCAGCAGAGGUGAUGGGGUGCCCUCGGGGUCCCCAAGGAUUAAGGAGAGGAUGUGUGUGAAGCCCCUAGAGUCCCUGCUCUGAGUGGGAUCCCUGAACCUGUUCCCCAUGCCGCCUCAAGCUGGGCCCUGGGACCCAGGGGGGAGUGGGCAGACGAGGAGGAAGGCACAGACUGGCUGUGGGGCAUGCGGUCUGUGUGACAUGCGGCAGCUGCAGCCUCGAGAAGGCAGCAGGAGCCUGUGCAAAGGCCCUGGGGCUGGCAGAACAGCAAGGCCAGUGCAGCCAGGGAGGUGAGAGCACAGGGUUCUCUGGGGUGGCAGAGAUUGGGGGGCUGUAUUACCCCAGACCUGAGGGGUGACCGAACCACCCUGCUGGUCAGAGGGUGGGAAGGCCACGGAUGAGACUCCUGAAAUCCCUAGAAGGGAGAAGCGGGGAGGGCUGCCUGGUGCCGCCUCACCUGGGGCUGCCCUGUGUGGCUGAUGACAGGUCUGGAGGGGACUGAAACCGAUUCUGCCUGCUUGUUCCAUAAUGGGGAAACUGAGGCCCGGAUCGGGGGCGGGCCUUGUCAGUUGGGGCAGAAACUCCUGGCCCCGCCCCCAGGGACCCACCCCCUCUGUCAAGGGCAGUCGACCCCACCUGGGGCCUCAGGUAGCGAUCAAGGUGCUGGUGGGGCUGUUGGCGAAGGCCCCAUGGUGGCGCUGGGCCCUGGGGGCUGCUCAGCAGCAUCGUGCGCCUGGGUGCCGCCAGGUCUCUCCUUCACGUGUCCUCGGGACUUACCUCCUGGGCUCCCUCCUGGCCGUGUGACCUCGCUGCUCCAGUCCCCCCAUCUGUUGUGCCGUGCUGUCCUCUUGGCCCACAGUGGGCGGCAUCCUGGGCUCGGCUCCCGCUGGACAUCUGGCCUGCAGAGCCUGGUGGACUGAGCCGAGGGCGGCGGGUACCAGGCCUCACGACCCGUCUCUGGCUCGGCGGGCCCCCAGACACGACGCUGGCGUGCAGGUCCCCGGGGUGCUUGCCUGCAGCCACGCCUCAGGGAGCAGGCUGCCUGGCCUGUGGGACACUCCGCAGCUGAGGCCCUGGCUCUGGCCUUGGCUUCAGCGUCCGCCCUCGACCUGCACACCUGGGGUCUGGGCGGGGCCACCUCUCUCUGCCCACAUCUCAGCGGUGCCCCUGGCUCGAGUGGCCCAGGGGAGGAAGAUCGGGGCUGGCACAGCUGAGGGCCUCG